UGCCAGCAGCCGCGGUAAUACGGGGGGUGCAAGCGUUAAUCGGAGUUAUUGGGCGUAAAGGGCGCGUAGGCGGCGCGAUACGGUCUGGGUGAAAUCCCUCGGCUCAACCGAGGAAUUGCCUGGGCAACGGUCGUGCUAGACAGCAUCAGGGGAAGGUGGAACUCGCGGUGGAGCGGUGAAAUGCGUAGAUAUCGCGAGGAACGCCGGUGGCGAAAGCGACCUUCUGGGGUGCUUGUGACGCUGAGGCGCGAAAGCUAGGGGAGCGAACGGGAUUAGAUA
rnacentral:rRNA from 1 species